AGAGGGUGCAAGCGUUAAUCGGAAUUACUGGGCGUAAAGGGCGCGUAGGUGGUGUUAUAAGUUGGGUGUAAAAUCCCCGGGCUUAACCCGGGCAUGUCAUUCAAGACUGUAAUGCUAGAGUACAGUAGAGGGAAGUGGAAUUUCCGGUGUAGCGGUGAAAUGCGUAGAUAUCGGAAGGAACACCAGAGGCGAAGGCGACUUUCUGGACUGAGACUGACACUGAGGCGCGAAAGCGUGGGUAGCGAACAGGAUUAGAUACCCUGGUAGUCCACGCUGUAAACGAUGAAAACUAGCCCGUUGCUUUCUUAAAGGGGGGCAGUGGCGCAGCUAACGCAUUAAGUUUUCCGCCUGGGGAGUACGGCCGCAAGGUUA
rnacentral:rRNA from 1 species